CCACUACAAUACAUUUUAUUUUUGCAGAAAACACCGUGUCUUCGGUAAUCUUUUUGCAUAAAACACUGAUCGGCGGAUCGGACUCAGAUAAGUGAGUUUAUGACAAAAGAGACCCGUCAGUCAGGCUGAUGUGACACCGCUUAACAAUUCACAUGUAACCGCAACGCCUGAUAACGUUAUCACCCCUAUGUGGGUCCACCUGUCAUUGGAAGAAAAAAGAAAAAAAAUGGGUUCAUCUUAUCUUCCCGCAGACUUCGCACAGCCGCGGUCCACCAUCGUUGUUGCCUCACACAGGCUCGCCCCUGCCGUUGCCUCGCCAAGGCCCGCCGCCGCCGUUGCCUCGCCCAGGCCAGCCGCCGCCGUGUCUACAUCCCACUAGGCUGGAGCGCCGCCGUGGUCUGCAUCCCCCUCGGCACCGGUGCGCAGCAAGGUCUGCAUCCCCUUGGGCACCGGCGUGCUCGAGCUCAGCGACGGAAACAGUGCUCCCCCCCCUCCCGCGACCAUCCACUGACACUGGAGCUUGCCGACCGCGGGCCGCCGCACCUUCUCAACGUCGGGAGCACCGUCCGCAUCCCCAUCUCCGAGACAGGAUCUGGCUGCCGAGCUCAUUCCCGCGGAUGGCCUCCUCUUUCCCCGGUCGGAUAUGUCGCCGUUGAGCCCGUUUGCGACGGGAUGCACCGAGGGGAGGUGUUGCAGCCAUGAUUCCUCCUCUGCCCGAGCAGCAGCAGCAUCAGAUUAGGAUGGAGCCGCCAUUAGCUCGCCCUCACCCAGAUCCAGCAAGAACUGAGCCGCCAGCGCCUUCCGCACCUCGGAUCCACGCUCCGCGCUCCAAUCCAGCUGGUGCCUCUGCCUCCGCGCUUGAGCCCGCCAUCGACGUAGGAGCUGCAGCAGCUGGUGAGCAGGGUGCUCGCCGUGGCUGAUGGAGGAGGCGGCGACUCCCUGCUCGAGCACCACGGCGGCUCUGGUUCGGGACGAAGCGACAACGCCGGCGGCCGGCCCGCUGCUCCCUCCCCUUGUCAGAUCGACGGGGUUCCGCAAUACGGCGUCGGCGCGUGGUGGUGCGCCGGAGACCGCCUCGGCGAACCUCCUGCGCCCUGCAACACCUGCACAGCCGUGGUGAGCUGCACCUGCUCGAUAAAAUGACUAAGUGGUCUGACACAGAGAAGAGAGUAUUUCACUGACGAGCGGGUCCCCUGUCAAGCAAAACGGUUCAAUGUAACGUUGUGAGAGGUUGGUGCCACGUCAGCCUGUCGGGCGGGUCCCGUCUAUCAUAAUCUCACUUAUCUGAGCCCGAUCCGCCGAUCAGUGCUUUCUGCAAAAAGAUUACCGAAGACACGGUGUUUUCUGCAAAAAAAUGUAUUGUAGUGGUUUUCACAAACCUUGCCUUCAAAGUGGUGGUUUUCUGCAAUUUACUCGCUUUAUUCACAUUGUGAAUCUGGAUACGGUGCUGAGCAAAUUCCACGGCAGAGAUGAAUGCCUCCCCCGGCACCGUGCAUGACAUCUCCAACACGUGCCUGACGGCAGGAGGAUGGCCACAAGCUUGGGGAGUACGGUGUAGAUGCCCCAAGCGCGAUGGUCUAGUGGACGAUGGCAUGGGACGGAGGAGAAAGGGGAACGAACACGGCAGGAGGAGAGGCGGGCGUUGAUAUUUUGCUAGGUGACAUGGAGAAGUCUGCACGGUUAGUUUGUACUGACCGUGUACUUUACUCAUCCCGCAAGCAUUGUAGUAUUUGUAUUUGUCAUGUGAAUAUAUACUUGCAGUUACUUAAUGUUAUGUUCUGUUCGAGUUCUUAAUAUCCGUGACUCAUUAUGUUCACCUCUUUGCAACUGCUUACUGUUGCACUGCAUCUUGCUUGUAUCAAGCUUGCUCUGCCACUAUAACUUGUCGUGUAAUAUUUUUUACCCGCGACAUGCAUGUUUGUAGUUUUGAGCUACCAUUAAUUUUGCUUGUCCGGGCGGGGUAAUGACAUUCUUGCUUACAAAAUCAAAUGGGGCGGAAUGAUUUACAACACUCAGAAACAAAUUUAGUCUAGUGUUGUGCAAACCUUAUAAUGUACUGUCUGCAAAAUUGCUUUGUCAACACAAGACAAAGUGUAAAAAUAUUACAGUAUCAAUUGCUUGAAAACAUUACGGCCUUCAUUUCUCGAUUCUAUUUCGACAUAUGGAAAUGACAUGUCUUCUGUUCUAGUCCUCUAUCACAGUAACCAUUUUAGGUUCAAAAAAAUGUGGUCUCUACUUACCUUCCUUCUGUAACUAAUCCAUCACCAAGUUGAAGUAUCGACCACCUUCUUCUUGGAUUUGGGCUUUUUGUUCUUCUGCUUCUUGUUUUGCUGCAAAUCAUCAUUUACAGGCACCUUCGGCUUCACAUCAGCAGCACCAGUCAUCCUUUGUCUCGGUCUGUCUAGGUUGACGUCGCUUAAGCUGUCUUUGGAGAUCUUUUCCAAGUGCCCAACAGUACUGUUCUUCUUCUUGGUUUCAUCUUUGGAGAUCUUUUCCAAGUGUCCAACAGUACUGUUCUUCUUCUUGGUUUCAUCGUUGGAGAUCUUCUCCAAGUGCCCAACAGUGCUGUUCUUCUUCUUGGUUUCAUCUUUGGAGAUCUUCUCCAAGUGCCCAACAGUACUGUUCUUCUUCUUGGUUUCAUCUGUUUUGAUGUUCUCAUUCUCAAGCAGCUUGUUAUAUCUGACAUGAUGGCUGUCCUGCUGGUCCAGGGGGUGCCCUGACUUUUGGUUUUCGGCAUGACUGUCGGUCAAAACCUUCUUAUUCCGUCGAGCAAGUUCAGACUUCUUGUUAUGGCUGCCUCCAUAAAUAUCAUCCAUAUCUAAGAAAUCAGUAUCUUGCUCCUGCAAAUCAUCAACUUUUGUGUUGCCUCUGACUGCGAGCUUCACCUGCUUUUCUUCCAAAGAUCUGGUCUUCGGUUUCUGAAGUUUGCUUUCUGUCACUGUGGUGUCGCCAGCUCUCUUCUCUUCAGAUCUAGCAGGUAUAGUACUAUUCCUGCUGGAGUUCGUAACCUUUCCUGCUACUACAACGGCAGGUGUUGUUGGGUUUGUUUGUGCCGAAGUGCUCUUACUACUUACAACUUUUCUGUCUGUAGUCCUGUAGUCCUGGAACCUGGUCUUGAUCUCCUCGAGCUCAGCUUCCUUCCGCUGCAGGAUUUCCAUGAGGGCUGCCAUCUGGUCAGGAUUUGACGCUGCGGCGGUUUUCUCUUCCAGUUGGCUGAUGCGGCUGUCUCUCGCCUUUAGAGACAGCUCCUGUUCCUUCAGAGUUUUCUCAGCACUCGUGACUUUAUCUUGCAUUUGCUUGAUGCGGUUGUCUCGUUCCUUCAGAGUUGCUUCCAGUGCUUUCCGAGUGCUGUGAAGAUUUGCGGCUUUCCCUUCCAUUUGGCUGAUGCGGCUCUCUCUCUCCUUGAGAGAUGCUUCGAGUUCUUUCUGCACGUUCUUGAGGAUUGUGGCCGUGGCUUCCAGCGCCUUGAGCUUUGUUUUCAGGUCUGUCUUCUGAGUUCUCAGGGAAGACAUCGUGGCCUUCAUUUCUUCCGCCUUCCUCUUCGUCUCUUUGCCAUAUGCCUUCUCUUUCUGGUACAUAAAUAAGAAUGAAUGGUGCAAUGUUUGGUCAGUUAUAUUUUCCUUGAAUUUAGAAACCACACUUAUAUAUACGUCUGGUACAUGAAUAAGAUUCUUAGUGCGUAGUAACUGAAAAAAAUAUGGCAAUCAGAGCACAUGUCAAAAAACACAUGUAUAGUUUCACCGUAGCAAAUCUCUGGUGAAUCAACUGAUGUUUAGAACAAUAUUCCUAUUUCAUACACCUGGUAAUUACUUAUGAAAACGUUGUGCAUAAAUUUGAAACCAUGAGCAAGAAUUUGCAUCUCGAGAGGUACAUCCAUAUUCGACGAGAAAGAAAAGGGAGGCGGAAGCUAAUUCUAGCAGAGAAUGGAUGAUCUUGCACCAGCUUGUCUGCAUGCAUGAUCUAAAAAGGGGGAAAAGAAGAAGAAAACGGAAGACAUGAGCCAUGGCCAUACCUGGAGUUGGAUCCGGAGGGAGACGGCCUGCACGUCGCGCUCCUUGAGAACCACAGCAAAGGCGCGCUGCUCCCUAACCUUGUGCAUGACGACGACGCUCAACGCGGCGCCGGCGAGAACCAGCAGCAGCAGCAGCGCACACGGGAGCCUCUGGCCGGCGGCGGCCAUCCCAUAGCCUUUUGGCUUGUACUUGCCCCCAUCCAUCAUAUCGGCUACUCUCUUCCUCAGACCGCUCGAUUCCAUUGCAGGACCGUGCUCUUUGCGCUGUGGAGGGGAUCAAUGGAGCUACUGCAGGUGCACCUUGUUUUCCCUGGCCUUUGCCUGGGUUUUGGGAAUGGCAAGACUUUAGAGGCAGAUGUGUGAUGCGGGCUAUGCGCUAAUAUGCCACUGCACAUGACACCGAAGGAAGAAGAUGUGAUGCUGGCCAGCUACCUACCUACCCAUGGAGAGGCUGCAGAAGCUUCGGCCCGUCCAUCGCGGAUCCGAUGGUCGCGAGAAACGGAGAUGACAGCUGAUCUGGGGUGCAAAACCGACAGUUUCACGAUCUCCAGGCAGAGAUCACCUCAAGUCUCAAGGUGAGUAAUGUAUUCAUGGAGCAGCAGCCAGGGGUAGUGCUCCACCAUGCAGGACAGCUGAUAUCUUUGACCUAGGCAAAGCUCCAUCAAAGGACGUGUAAACUAAUGGAGAAAAAUGGCUCAAGAUCAGAACAACCAUUUUUCCUUAGCAGAGCAGCAGUUGAAUUGAGUACGUGUGUCGCGGGAAGAAAUGGUCAUCGUGGAUGCAAUGAACACCAGCUGAUUGAUCAAUAAUUCUGAAAAUGGCUUCGAGCUCAUGCAUGCACGGCCGAUGGGCUGCACGUCGGCGCUGCUUUGCCUGACUCCAUGGACAUGCAUUGCAACAACGACUGAUGCUCUGCUCGUGCGAAACGUGGCAGGAACGAAGGUUCCUGUGACUGAGAAUGCAGGCUCACUGUCAUGUGCGCAUGCGUUGACCUCCUUGCCUGCCAACCCAGUGGACAGUGUUAUUUUGAAUUCAAGAGAAUGGAGCCGUUAGGCCACAGAUCCUGCUGCCCCGCCCCACCGUUGGUGAGAGUAGGUGAGGGUGGAAAGUGGAGGUGGAUAAUCAGAAAUAUCCAAUGUUUUUAUUGGAGAAAAUGCCCUAUUAGUAUCUGAAAUAAUAUAUGUUGCAAGUUGAUUAUUUUGUGUCACAUAGCUAUUGACUUGUGUUCUUUAACUAAUAUUUCGCCAUUAUUGGUAUCCGUUCUGAAUCGAUUAAAAAUCCGAUAUGUAAUUAUGUAUACAUGCUCGAG